rnacentral:rRNA from 1 species
AAAGGGAAGCGAAGCCGCGAGGUGGAGCAAAACCCAAAAAAGCAGUCUCAGUUCGGAUUGAAGGCUGAAAUUCGCCUUCAUGAAGCCGGAAUUGCUAGUAAUGGCAGGUCAGCAUACCGCGGUGAAUACGUUCCCGGGCCUUGUACACACCGCCCGUCACACCAUGAGAGUCGGGAACACCCGAAGUCCGUAGCCUAACCGCAAGGAGGGCGCGGCCGAAGGUGGGUUCGAUAAUUGGGGUGAAGUCGUAACAAGGUAAC